GCCUGGGUGGCUCAGUUGGUUGAGUGUCUUGACUUCAGCUCAGGUCAUGAUCUCACAGCUCGUGAGUUCGAGCCCCACAUCGGGCU
rnacentral:tRNA from 1 species